UAGUAGUCAUAACGCUCGUCUCAAAGAUUAAGCCAUGCAUGUGUAAGUAUAAAUAGUUAACUUUGAAACUGCGAAUGGCUCAUUAUAUCAGUUAUAGUUUAUUUGAUGAAGAAUACUAAUUGGAUAACCGUAGUAAUUCUAGAGCUAAUACAUGUAUAAAGUCUUGUAGACUGCAUUUAUUAGAAUGAAAACCAUAGGUUUCGGCCUAUUCGUGAGUAAUAAUAACUAAUCAUAUCGUAUGCUUAUGUAACGAUGUGUCUUUCAAGUUUCUGCCCUAUCAGC
rnacentral:rRNA from 1 species